UUUUAUGGAGAGUUUGAUCCUGGCUCAGGAUGAACGCUGGCGGCGUGCCUAAUACAUGCAAGUCGAGCGAACGGACGAGAAGCUUGCUUCUCUGAUGUUAGCGGCGGACGGGUGAGUAACACGUGGAUAACCUACCUAUAAGACUGGGAUAACUUCGGGAAACCGGAGCUAAUACCGGAUAAUAUUUUGAACCGCAUGGUUCAAAAGUGAAAGACGGUCUUGCUGUCACUUAUAGAUGGAUCCGCGCUGCAUUAGCUAGUCGGUAAGGUAACGGCUUACCAAGGCAACGAUGCAUAGCCGACCUGAGAGGGUGAUCGGCCACACUGGAACUGAGACACGGUCCAGACUCCUACGGGAGCAGCAGUAGGAAUCUCGCAAUGGGCAAAGCCUGACGGAGCAACG
rnacentral:rRNA from 1 species